rnacentral:rRNA from 1 species
AGCAGUCGCCACGGUAAUACGAACCGUGCGAACGUUAUUCGGAAUUACUGGGCUUAAAGCGCGUGUAGGCGGGCCGCCACGUCGGUUGCUGAAAUCCCCCGGCUCAACCGGGGAAGUGGCAUCGAUACGAGCGGCCUUGAGGGGGGUAGGGGGAUCUGGAACUUCCGGUGGAGCGGUGAAAUGCGCUGAGAUCGGAAGGAACGCCCGUGGCGAAAGCGAGGUCCUGGACCCUUUCUGACGCUGAGACGCGAAAGCCAGGGGAGCGAACGGGAUUAGAGACCCCUGUAGUCCCUGUCUCUUAUU